rnacentral:lncRNA from 1 species
UGAGCACGCGCAGUGCGUUUAGGAAGUUGUACGCAUACCCAACUGAAGCUUUCUUCCCUUCUCCAGUGGAGUGCACCUGCACAGAAACUCUCUCUGUACCACGUACCUGCUGCCAGAAGCUGGGAAGGAGUGGUGCUGGUGAUUCAAAACUGAUUUUCCUGCCUCUUCGAUGCCUCUUUUAGUGACAUACAGUUAAGACCAGGCACUGCUAGAUUAUCUCCUAACUUUAAAACUUUGGAUGAAUAAUUAUAAAGCAGCAAAUUGGUGUUGCAAAGAGAAGACAUGAAAAGCAGAGUUUAGUAGAUAUUUUCUAUGAUUCACUCUUGAGAGAGAUAACAGAAACUGAAGUGAAGUAUCCUUGAUCUUGGAACUCCAUUCCUCCCCUGCUGAGUGAGAGGAGUCUCAGACUGUGGAAAAUAAAUGGCUGACAGAACAAGAUCAUAGAGUUUUCCUAUAUUCUGUAAGUUACUGACAAAAAGCAGGUUGAGUUAAAACUAAGUCCAUGUAACCCAGCAUGUUGAGAAAGAUCUUUGAGAAAGAGUCCUCAGAUUGUUCUUCAGCUUUGAGAGACUGAAUGGAUCAGACAAGGAUAACCAAAACCUAGACCUUGUUGCUUUAGAGGAGUCAGGAAUCAGCAAAAUAAUUUUGAAACAUAAUAAACAUACUUUUUAUUGCUUUGUCUUUGUCAUUGGUAAAAAGGCACUCAGUUAUAAAACUCUAUGGAGAGGAUCUGAGAUGGUAUAGAAGUGUUUGUAUCCCAGCAGCAGGUGGAAGCCAGGGGAUGUCUACCAAAGUUGUAAAUGCAUGUAUUCUGUGGUGUAGCUGAGAGAUAGCUGCCUCACAGAGUAUGCCAUGGAAAAUUCUAAGGAUGAUGAGGCCAGACCACUCUGCAUGGAUCCACAGCAGUAAAUCCACUUCUGAGGAGAAGAAUGAAAGCCAAGGCAGAUAUGAAAGAGCCAUGGACUGCUGACCUUUGAACCCUGAGAGGAGUGCAGAGCUCACUCAUAUUCUAAUGAAGUAUUUUUCUACCCUUAUUAUGAUUCUGACUCACUAUACUUCUUAUCAAAAUUACAUGAUGAGGAAUUGUAUGUUUGAAUAGCAGUCAAAUGAGAAGAGACUUUAUCAUUUAGCAAAUCUAUCUGCCCAAUUUCGUAGCUUGAGACAAUGCAAAAAUGUCAACCCAUGAUCUCUAUCCCAUUUUCUUUUGAUUAUCUCUACAGCUUGUAAAAAUCUCUGUACUUUUUUUCCAGUUUAAUUCUAUCUAGG